rnacentral:rRNA from 1 species
UCGCUCUUUGACUAUAUUAGAUAUAAAGAGUCUAACCUGCCCAGUGAUUUUUAACGGCCGCAGUAUACUGACUGUGCAAAGGUAGCAUAAUAAUUUGUCUUUUAAUUAAGGACUAGCAUGAAUGGUUGAAUGAGGAUUUAACUGUCUUUAUUUUUUUAAAUAAAAAUUAAUUUUAAAAUGAAAAAGUUUUAAUAAAAUUAAAAGACGAAAAGACCCUAUCGAGCUUGAAGUAAAAUUAAUAUUUAAAUUUUAUAGUAAAAGUGUUUAUUAAGUUAAUUUUUGUUGGGGCGACAGAAGAACAUUUAAAGCUUCUUUAUAUUAUUAAUACUGAUUUGUAUGUAGACCCAUUUUUAAUGAUUAAUAGAUUAAGUUACCGUAGGGAUAACAGCGUUAUCUUUCUGGAGAGUUCUUAUUGAUAGAAAGGUUUGCGACCUCGAUGUUGGAUUGAAAUUCCUUCUAGGUGUAGCUGCUUAGGUUAGGGGG